UGGGGAAUUUUGGACAAUGGGCGAAAGUCUGACGGAGCAACGCCGCGUGAGUGAAGAAGGUUUUCGGAUCGUAAAACUCUGUCUUUUGGGGCGAACGUGAGUAUGGUGAACAAUCAUAGUCAGUGACGGUACCAAAGGAGGAAGCCACGGCUAACUACGUGCCAGCAGCCGCGGUAAUACGUAGGUGGCAAGCGUUGUCCGGAAUUAUUGGGCGUAAAGAGCGCGUAGGCGGGAUAGUCAGUCUGUUGUAAAGUGCGGGGCUCAACCCCGUGAUCGCAAUGGAAACAGCUAUUCUUGAGUGCAGGAGAGGAAAGUGGAAUUCCCAGUGUAGCGGUGAAAUGCGUAGAUAUUGGGAGGAACACCAGUGGCGAAGGCGACUUUCUGGACUGUGUCUGACGCUGAGGCGCGAAAGCCAGGGGAGCGAACGGGAUUAGAUACCCCGGUAGUCCUGGCCGUAAACGAUGGGUACUAGGUGUGGGAGGUAUCGACCCCUUCCGUGCCGGAGUUAACGCAAUAAGUACCCCGCCUGGGGAGUACGGUCGCAAGACUGAAACUCAAAGGAAUUGAC
rnacentral:rRNA from 1 species